CCCUCACCCUUUCUCCACUUUUCUCUCUGAAAAAAUUCUCACUUUUUUUCUCACACUUUCCCGGAUAACCCAAUCCAUCCCAUCUUCAAAAGCAGAAAAUUUUCCCUCAAGAAAGUGGUUUUCCUUACCACAAAAACAGACGUAUUCAAUUCAAGAAACGGGUUCAAAGAUUUUCCCCAGAAAAUCUGAUUCUCUCUCUUCAAAUGGGUUUUUAAUUUUGAAAUACUUAAUUUCUUAAUUUAAUUUAAUUAAAAAAAAUUUCUUCUGUUUUUGCAGACUACUGACGGUGAUGAGGAAGUUAUGUACAAAGUUUCCAAUCUCUCAAAUCAAGAAAAGGGUCUGAAGAUUUUCUCUGGUGAGGAAUAUCCUUUCAAAUGUAUACGAACUUGAAUUAAUUUUCAUGUUCCUGAUGUUUUAAAAGAUUUUUCAUUUAUUUUCUAUGUUUCUCCUCUGAAAUUUGUGGCAUGUACAACAACAAGAUUUUUCCCGGCGAAGGGGUUUUAUAGACUAAUGGGCUUUUCUUUGUGCUUUCAUCGGUGUGGUUUUUACUGAUUUUGUUGCUAAUUGUGAAUUUUUUUUUUUUAAUUUUUUAUAUUCUAUAUACUUGAACAAAUUUUGGCACUCACUAGUUAUGACAUAAUUAUCCAACAUAUGGUUUCUUUGGCACUAUAUAUCGUUUUGCAUGCUCUUGAUCUAUUAUGUUUGCAACUUGAUGCUUUUGUGCCCUUGACUGCUAAUUGUUCUGUUGGUUUCCUUCCAAUUAUUAGGUGCUGAGAUACAAGGCUGCUAAUUGAUCUAUUAUGAGAACUUUUUUCAUCUACUUUUGAUAUGUAGAUCUAGGCUUCUAGAAUGUGAUCAUGUAAGGGUAUCUCUGCACAGUAUUAGGGGUUAUCAAUUUCUAGCUUUAGCUUAUUGGAUAAUCUUAUUUUUUGGUCUUUUCUGGCCCUUAAAAUUAAAUUUGCUAUUGCUUUUAAGUGUUCCAAUGAAUCAUUGAUUCUUCUCCACACCCCGUUCCCCAAUGAAUAAUUGAUUCUGUGUGCAUGUGUUUGGACUUGAUAGAAAACAAGAUAGGGUGGAGGGUCCUGGCUUCAAAUUUGUAUUUCCAACUUAUUAUUAUAAAUUUAUCAGCUGCUAAUCGAUUCACUGUAUGUGACAUUAACUUUUUGCUAUUGUUAGCAAAACCUUAUUUUGCGAUUGACUAGUUCAUUUAUUUAUUUUUUCCGAACAAAUUUGAGGCAGUGAUGAUAGUCAUUAUUCAGUACUUUCUUUAGCUUUUACUGCAUUCCUUAGACUGCUGUGAAAGCAAAUUUUGGGUUGAAAAAAACACAGGAAAAACCCAAGUGGUCUGUAGCUACUAAGAGAGAUGCUUACAAGUGCUGUAACAAGAGAAAUGAUUUCUAUGCAGUAUAGAGACCUUUUUGUAUCAACACCCUAAAAGACUGAGUUCAAGAGAAUCACUUCAACUCUAAAGUACCAGACAAGAUGUGUUGCUGCCUUUCCAGAUCAGCAAGGUUUCUUGAUCGGAUCCAAGAAAGGCAAUUUCCUUGUUCUGGUCUGCCAUAAAUGCUGGGGACCUGGCUGAUAGUGCCUUGAAAGAAAUGGCAAUUGUGAUGAAACAAUUGGAUCGAUUUGAUGAGGCAAUUGAGGCUAUCAAAUCUUUUCGUCAUCUCUGCCCUUAUGAUUCCUAGGAAUCUCUUGGCAAUGUGUUAGUUGAACUCUACAAGGUAAAACUAAAACCAGUUUUAUCCAAUAAAUAGUUUCUUAUAUUUUACUUGCCAUUCUUUGUCAUUUUCCUUUCAGCUAGUUACAUAUAUUGGGGCAACAACAACAAGAAAGCUGGAGUGUGGCAAGUAUAAAUGAUAUUACAGGACUAAAUUUGCAGACAAGAACUUUUACCUUCAAAAAAAUAAAAGCAGCCACUAAUGAUUUCUAUUCUGCCAACAAAAUUUGAGAAGGUGAUUUUGGUCCUGUGUACAAGGUUCGGUGCAGAGUGAAUUACCUGAUGGUACUGUCAUAGCAGUUAAGCAACUCUCAUCUAAAUCAAAGCAAGGAAAUCGUGAAUUUUUAACUGAAAUAGGCAUGAUUUCUUGUUUGCAACACCCAAAUCUGGUGAAGCUUCAUGGAUGUUGUAUUGAAGGGGAGCAAUUAUUGUUAGUCUAUGAGUACAUGGAAAAUAAUAACUUAGUCCAUGCAUUAUUUGGUGAGUAUUAUGUAAUCUUGCUUAGCAUUGAGCUAUUACGAAAAAAAAUAUGAGAUGAAAUUUUUUCCAUGAUUUGAAUUUAAUUAUAUGUAGCAAAAAAUUAAGUCAGGUGAGCUUAUCUGGCUUCCAGACCAUCCUUGGAUUCUUUUCUUGAUUUUCUGGAUGGUCAGCUCUAUGGGAUUCAGAUUUGAGUUUUCUGGUUAUUGGUUUCUUCUUAUUUGAGUAAUUGAGUUGACUCAGCAGUAUUUUCUUCUUUGGUAGGUCCAGAAAUCAAUCAGCUUAAACUGGACUGGCCUACAAGGCUUAAGAUAUGUAUUGGGAUAGCAAGGGCCUUAGCUUUUUACCAUGAAGAAUCAAGACUCAAGAUUGUCCACAGAGACAUCAAAGCUACUAAUGUGUUGCUAGAUGGAGACUUAAAUCCUAAAAUAUCUGACUUUGGAUUGGCUAAACUUGAUUAAGAGGAGAAGACCCACAUUAGCACCAAGGUAGCUGGAACUAUGUCAGUUCCCAUCUUAUUAAUGAACUUCUAGUUAUAUAUGUUAUAAUUUUAAUAAUUAUAUUUGAGGUUAGCAAAAUAUUCUAAUUUUUGGAGUUGAAUCAUAAGACAUUGAGAUUUUGAUUUGCAAUGGAUAUAUGACACCAGAAUAUGUAUUAUGGGGUUAUCUGACCUACAAAGUAGAUGUUCAUAAGUUUUGGAGUUGUGGCCUUAGAAGUUCUCAGUGGAAAGAGCAACAGUAAUUAUAUGCCAAGUGACAUUUGUGUUUGCCUUUUAGAUCUGGUACUUUCUAACUUCCUAUCCCUGUUUGAUUCAUUACACAUAUAUCGUUAAUGCUUCAAUUAUUACUUACUA